rnacentral:tRNA from 1 species
GGCCCCCUACCCCAACUGGCAGAGGGAACCGGCUUAAACCCGGCUCAGUCUGGGUUCGAAUCCCAGGGGGGCUACCA